rnacentral:lncRNA from 1 species
UGGUGUUGGCAAACUCUCUGAGGGUGCACCCGAUCCCACUGUCCACAUCACCAACAGAGAUGUUAAACAGCACCAGUCCCAGUACUGAACCUGAGGAAAGCCGCUUGUCACUGUAGAAGGCCACCACAUUUGUCAGGCAUGAUUUGACUGCCACAGUUUUGAUGCCCUGUAGCACUGAGUCACUGCUUUCUAAAAUAUCAGUCUUCAGUGAAAAGCAGCCGUUUGAGUUUCAUCAGGACUGUGGAAUCUCCCUCUCUCACAUUAUCUUAUUGAAUGUGUCAUAGAAGCCUUCCCAUCUACUCCUUCAUGCCUGAAAAUCUCAACUGAAAGAGGCACAGCGUUUGAUAGAUUUAGAGAAAUCUUUUUUUUUUUUUUAGAAAAAAGAAAAAAAAAAUGUCAGAGAAAUGCUUCAUAUUACAUAUAUAUAACAUUUCUUUAUAUGAAUAUAAAGAAAAUAUGAAGAAAAUGCCUCCAGCAUGGAUGGAUCUUCCUACUUUGCUCUGAUAUAGAAAAGCAGGAAUUACAAGAAUUUGCUGGUGGGUUUUGUGGUUGUUCUUUGUUUGUUUUCUGUCUGAUAGGUGCAAAUAGUAGAACAGAUUGAUAGAUGUAAAUGGUAAAGAUAAAAAGAUGCAAGUGGUAAAAUUGUAAAUAACAGAGAAGCUAUUCCUAAACUAAUGUUCUGAAUGACAUUUUAAUAUCUUCUUAAUAUUAAUAGCAUUAUUAAGCUUUUAUAUUUCAUCUGCUUCCAUCGCUUUGUAUUGUCAAUAAUCUGCUCACAAUACUCAUUUUAUUGAUUAAUAUCUGUUCUAAACACCUCUCCUGAACUCAUCCUUUGGGUGUAUAAAUCUAGUUACUCUGUAGAAAUAGUGCUGCGGCCUGACAAAAUGUUAACCCAGUGACCUUUUAUAUAAAUCUCCGUAGUUGCAAGCGUUAUGAUCUUUCACACUGAGCGUGCAUGGCCCCAGCCCGUCUCUCCAUGCACAUCCUAGCACCUAUGUCCUGGUGCCCGCAGCCUCCCUGCUGGCUCCCCACCCGUGUCCCAAC